rnacentral:rRNA from 3 species
AAAUUGAAGAGUUUGAUCAUGGCUCAGAUUGAACGCUGGCGGCAGGCCUAACACAUGCAAGUCGAACGGUAACAGGAAGCAGCUUGCUGCUUUGCUGACGAGUGGCGGACGGGUGAGUAAUGUCUGGGAAACUGCCUGAUGGAGGGGGAUAACUACUGGAAACGGUGGCUAAUACCGCAUAACGUCGCAAGACCAAAGAGGGGGACCUUCGGGCCUCUUGCCAUCAGAUGUGCCCAGAUGGGAUUAGCUAGUUGGUGAGGUAACGGCUCACCAAGGCGACGAUCCCUAGCUGGUCUGAGAGGAUGACCAGCCACACUGGAACUGAGACACGGUCCAGACUCCUACGGGAGGCAGCAGUGGGGAAUAUUGCACAAUGGGCGCAAGCCUGAUGCAGCCAUGCCGCGUGUAUGAAGAAGGCCUUCGGGUUGUAAAGUACUUUCAGCGGGGAGGAAGGUGUUGUGGUUAAUAACCGCAGCAAUUGACGUUACCCGCAGAAGAAGCACCGGCUAACUCCGUGCCAGCAGCCGCGGUAAUACGGAGGGUGCAAGCGUUAAUCGGAAUUACUGGGCGUAAAGCGCACGCAGGCGGUCUGUCAAGUCGGAUGUGAAAUCCCCGGGCUCAACCUGGGAACUGCAUUCGAAACUGGCAGGCUUGAGUCUUGUAGAGGGGGGUAGAAUUCCAGGUGUAGCGGUGAAAUGCGUAGAGAUCUGGAGGAAUACCGGUGGCGAAGGCGGCCCCCUGGACAAAGACUGACGCUCAGGUGCGAAAGCGUGGGGAGCAAACAGGAUUAGAUACCCUGGUAGUCCACGCCGUAAACGAUGUCUACUUGGAGGUUGUGCCCUUGAGGCGUGGCUUCCGGAGCUAACGCGUUAAGUAGACCGCCUGGGGAGUACGGCCGCAAGGUUAAAACUCAAAUGAAUUGACGGGGGCCCGCACAAGCGGUGGAGCAUGUGGUUUAAUUCGAUGCAACGCGAAGAACCUUACCUGGUCUUGACAUCCACAGAACUUUCCAGAGAUGGAUUGGUGCCUUCGGGAACUGUGAGACAGGUGCUGCAUGGCUGUCGUCAGCUCGUGUUGUGAAAUGUUGGGUUAAGUCCCGCAACGAGCGCAACCCUUAUCCUUUGUUGCCAGCGGUCCGGCCGGGAACUCAAAGGAGACUGCCAGUGAUAAACUGGAGGAAGGUGGGGAUGACGUCAAGUCAUCAUGGCCCUUACGACCAGGGCUACACACGUGCUACAAUGGCGCAUACAAAGAGAAGCGACCUCGCGAGAGCAAGCGGACCUCAUAAAGUGCGUCGUAGUCCGGAUUGGAGUCUGCAACUCGACUCCAUGAAGUCGGAAUCGCUAGUAAUCGUGGAUCAGAAUGCCACGGUGAAUACGUUCCCGGGCCUUGUACACACCGCCCGUCACACCAUGGGAGUGGGUUGCAAAAGAAGUAGGUAGCUUAACCUUCGGGAGGGCGCUUACCACUUUGUGAUUCAUGACUGGGGUGAAGUCGUAACAAGGUAACCGUAGGGGAACCUGCGGUUGGAUCACCUCCUUA